rnacentral:rRNA from 1 species
CUUGGUCAUUUAGAGGAAGUAAAAGUCGUAACAAGGUUUCCGUAGGUGAACCUGCGGAAGGAUCAUUACAUUCAGUAGCUUGCUACUGUUAGGGGGGUCCAUUAGUCUGUAUAGUAUCACUACUGAUGAGCAGCACGACUCCCUGUCUAUACCCUUGUCUUUUGCGCACUCAUGUUUCCUCGGCGGCUUGAUACCCGCCGGCUGGAUCAAUCUAUAACCUUUUUAAUUUUCAAUCAGCGUCUGAAAAACCUAAUAAUUACAACUUUCAACAACGGAUCUCUUGGUUCUGGCAUCGAUGAAGAACGCAGCGAAAUGCGAUAAGUAGUGUGAAUUGCAGAAUUCAGUGAAUCAUCGAAUCUUUGGACGCACAUUGCGCCCCUUGGUAUUCCAUGGGGCAUGCCUGUUCGAGCGUCAUUUGUACCCUCAAGCUCUGCUUGGUGUUGGGUGUUUGUCCACUGUCGUGGACUCGCCUUAAAGUCAUUGGCAGCCAGUGUUUUGGUAUUGAAGCGCAGCACAUUUUGCGCCUCUAGCCUAGAGCACUCGCGUCCAGUAAGCCUUUUUCCACUUUUGACCUCGGAUCAGGUAGGGAUACCCGCUGAACUUAAGCAUAUCAAUAAGCGGAGGA